rnacentral:lncRNA from 1 species
UGAGUCAGUCAAAUUAAUUAUUAUCUGUCAUUGUCAAAAAGAAUUUUCAACUUUUGGUAUUUUGAAAUUGAUAUUUUUUGUCAUCCCAAUCUUUACAUUGUUCGCAUUUUUUAUUAUAGUUUUCGUUCGUUGGUUCUCAGUUAUUUUAGUUUGGUUACAUUUUUCAGUAGUAAUAAGGAAUAGUUUUAUAUAGUGUAUAAGGAUACUUUUUGUACAAUGGGACAAUUCUAUAUUUUGUGUGGACAAUGUAAAAAUUCGAGUAAUCAUCUGUAUUCAGUGCCAAAGGUAAAUGAAACAUUUUAUAAUUACUGUCAAUCCACCACGGAUAAACUAAGUUUGUAUCAGCCUACACCAAAAACCAACUUCAUAUUUUGAAUAAUCCUUCACCCUUUCAAAUCCACCUUCUGCUACUAGAGUAUCAUUACUUUCUUAAUCAUAAUAUCAAAUUGAAAAUAAACAUUCACUUAUGCUUUUUUUAAUUUUUUUUAAAUACAACUUAAUACCUAGUUGCAAGAAAAGUCUACUCAUAGAAUCAUAGAUACCUACAGAUGAAUAUUACAGUAUGCAGAUAGAUUUAUUGCAUUUCUACAGAAUUAUUAUGAGAAGUAAGUAAGUUUACAGUUACAUGAAAUUUAACAUCCAUUUAAAAUAUCAUGAUAUUAAUAUCAGCAUAAAAUUUAAAACUAAUAAAAAAUUAAAUCUAUAUCAACAAUUAAUAAAUCAUAGAUUAAGUUUGAAAAUCACUGACUGAGUAGGGCUCCAUGUCAAACAAAUAGUUCCCCAAGCCUAACAGAAUGUUGUAUAUUUUUGAAAUCUUGUGGAAAAUUAUUGUAGAACACGAGGGUGUUGACUUGUAUAAAAAAAAAUUAUUGGGUGGUUAAAAGACUACUCAUGUUUGAUGAGAAACCUAAUGUUCUCUUAAAUAUAUACUUGCAGUAAUUGUUAGCAUAUAGAAUUCCAAACAACCAAACAGUAUGCUCUUCCCCUUCUAGCUUUACCUAUCUAGAAAAAAAAAGUUAUUUUCAACCGGCUGUUCUCUAACGGUGACCCUCAGAAGUUCGCAGUUGGAAACAAACACUCAAUGCUAUUCAUUUCUCUUGAAGAUAAAAGAUUGUUGUUUUCGGUUCAACUCAAGCAUAUCAAUGUCCUUUUACAAAUUUCAUAUAAGGCUCAUAACGGACUUUAAAGAAAGUUAUUGAUAACAUAAUAUGAGAAGAGAUAUUUAUGUAACAAUUAUUUAAUUGAAUCAUGUUGAAAAAGGGAUAUGUCACAAAUUGUCUGAAUGUGUGGAGUUUAGUUAUAACAUUUCACAUUAUUUUUAAUUUCAAUGAUCACAGCUGCUGUUUUGUUCAAUAUUUUACAUCAUAUUUUCCCUUCAUACCUUUCAUAAAAGUACAUCAUUAUUCAAUACGGGCUAAUAGGUGCUAAUAUAAUAAAAGGUGAUAGUGGAAGAAAGGGGUAAAGUUGAACAACAUUUUCUACAAAUGCCUGAUUCACAGAAAAUUAACUUCAUUAACUUCACCCUGUAUUUCCUGAUAUUUCAUAUUUGUCAAUAUCUGUGUAAGCGUCCUGCUUACACAUGGAAAUAAUAAAUACGAUAUCAUUAUUAUAAACAGCCUCUUCUGAGAACAUAAUCAAAAAGAGGUGUAUCUUUUAGAAUCUUUCUUGGUUAUAAUGAAAUGCCAGUAGGAAUUUAAAAACAAUUAAUGGAAAAGUUGUUAUCGAACAAAGGGUUAUAUUUAGGUAUUCAUGCUAAGAAUCGCACGUUAAAAGGUAAGAUUUCGUUAAUCCCUGUUCACACAAGUUUCGACUUCUGAGGGCUGCCGUUCGUAGGGGAACGACAGCUGGUUAACAGAAAAAUCAAUUUUAACAAAUACCAUUUUAGUUUUUUGUCCAUGUUUAUUUACAGGGAUCUCAAUUUAUUCAUUUGUAUAUAUGUGAGCCCCAAUUUUUGUUUACAAUAAAUUAUAUAACAAAGAAAGCUUGUACUGUAAACACUUAUACUCUACUACUAUAAUUAUUAUAGACACAUUUAUGUGUGUUUAAUGAACGACAAUUAAAGUAAUGAAAAACAUUUACAUGAGCAAAGAGUGAGAUUCUUAAAAAUAUUUUCAUUAUCACAGAAGAAAUUGAUUUUAUCAGAGUAGUUAUUUUCAAGUCUCAACAUUUCAGAUAAAGGAGAAUGAUACCACUAGUUAGUUAGGUGAUAUGGUCUAAUAAAUAGCUUUAUUUGUCUAAUGGACCUCAGUGGAACGUUGGAAGUUAUAAGGGAGAGAAUUUCUGGACAAUCAAUGAAACCAGAUAUAAAUUUGAAUAGAUAAACUAAUGACUUAGUGUAACUUCGAUUCUGAAAUCAGCAUGAAAUAUUUCUAAAAUUGAAUUGAAUGUAUGAACCCAUCCUGCCUAAUUUCGUAAUAGUUAGUUUCCUGGUUUUGCCCUGAUCAUUUUCGGUAAAAAUAUUUGACUGCAACUGGGGUAAUCAUAUUCAGUUGCGUUGAUGAAGUAAUCUUAGAGAAUAAAGUUGAUACUGAAAUUAGUUUCAAUGAAUAUCUCAUGAAGAGUACUUCGUCAACGCCACUGAAGGUGACUGUCGUAGUUGCAGUCGAAACGUUUGGAGUUUACCAAAGAAGACAACAGCAAAACCCGAAAACCAACCAAUACAUUGAAGUCAGUCAUGAAAUCAUACUACAUGAGCUAUUGAAAAUUGUUGAUGAAGGAUGCUGAAAUUUUCCCAGAUUCAAAGAUUGAUUUUCAUUUUUUCAUAACUGGUUUUAUUUUUCAGUUUGCAGUUUGAUUAUGCAGUGGAAAAAACUCAGUUUGAAACAUGAACAACUGAAAUACUUGAAUCCCUAUAUUUAGUUCUGUUAUCAGUGUUUUCAAAGAAUAUUUGAUAAAGCUUCUGCCAUAUAUCUGAUAAGGAUUGUGUGAUUAUUUAUAUAGUUUGAUUAAUUUAAUCAAAUAACAUUUAUUGAUCUAAAGGGUAAAACAUGUUUUAGACAAGUAAAUUGAUGGAUAUAUAGCCGUUACUACUGUGGUAGAAGAUCAUCAUGAAAAAUUUAGACAAGUUCUAUUGUGAAAUUGACGUGAUAGUCAUUUUUAUAAUAAAAAUAGGUAUUUUGAUAUUUUUUAUUUCUCAGUGAAACCGCUCCUGAACUUCCACUAAACGUUUUUCCUAGUCCAUCCUGUAGUAUUCUACCCGAUUCACACUCUGUCACAAAACAUCCAUUGGCAAAUUCUAGCAGUAUUCAACUAGAGAAUAUUCCUAACCCCAUUUUGGUUUCAAAUACUUGAUGACAUCCAGAUUGAACCAAGAUCAUUUGGAGGUGAUAAUGUUCACAUAUCCAUAACAAUUCCAAUCAACUUUGUUGAUAUCAUUUUCAGCAUUUUUGGGAUGAUGAGAGCUGCAGGUGGAUGCAAUACUCAUCCCGAGUCAAUUCAAGUUGGACAAAUAUUCCGCCUAAUGUCCCUCUAUUCUCUGAUAAAACCGCCCAGGGAAAGUAAUGUUAGUGGAGGAGAAAUUUUGAAAUCCUUUCUUCAUAUUGGAGAUCUGAAAGAAAAACAGCAAAAAUUUAUAUUCUAUAUUGAAAUAG